rnacentral:rRNA from 1 species
AUGAACGCUGGCGGCGUGCCUAAUACAUGCAAGUCGAGCGAACAGACGAGGAGCUUGCUCCUCUGACGUUAGCGGCGGACGGGUGAGUAACACGUGGAUAACCUACCUAUAAGACUGGGAUAACUUCGGGAAACCGGAGCUAAUACCGGAUAAUAUAUUGAACCGCAUGGUUCAAUAGUGAAAGACGGUUUUGCUGUCACUUAUAGAUGGAUCCGCGCCGCAUUAGCUAGUUGGUAAGGUAACGGCUUACCAAGGCAACGAUGCGUAGCCGACCUGAGAGGGUGAUCGGCCACACUGGAACUAAGACACGGUCCAGACUCCUACGGGAGGCAGCAGUAGGGAAUCUUCCGCAAUGGGCGAAAGCUUGACGGAGCAACGCCGCGUGAGUGAUGAAGGUCUUCGGAUCGUAGAACUCUGUUAUUAGGGAAGAACAAAUGUGUAAGUAACUAUGCACGUCUUGACGGUACCUAAUCAGAAAGCCACGGCUAACUACGUG